GAGAAAAAUUUUUCCUGUAAAAUUUAUUUCCAUCGCUACCUGUUUAUAACCGUCCUUUGCCAGCAUUCUGUGAAGUUUGUUAAGGGCACGUCUAGCUAAAAUCAUCCCAGAAUUAUCGGGAAGAUAUGAAAUAGUAGUAAUAUCUUCAUUGUUGUUAUCUUCCUUCCAGGAUUUGUACUUCCUAUUGUCAGUCACAACAUUCACCUGUAAACAUAAAGAAAUGAUGAAAGAGAAAACGACUCUAAAUUUGGGUGACAGCUGUCAAGAUGGUGCAUAAUCAAGAUAAACGACUUACAUGAUGAGGAACAAACUCGUCAUUUCCUCUUGUGCUUCCGGUAGCACAACACGCCAUGUUCACCAAUGCUGCUGUAGGGAAUGAAUCAUACACCGAACGUACCUAAAGAAAUGAGUGAACAACAAUCACUGAGCUAUAUACUCCUGAACAUCUCGCUUUAGUGACGACUAGUAGACUAUCAAUGUAUUCCCAAUGAUGAUGACGUCAAACGUUGAAAAUACCUCAGUAGGAUUAGGAUUGUCAUGUGUUACAUCCAUGUAGAGCGCAUGCGCGACUGAGUUUACCAUGGGUUUACCAGAAAGAUGAAAGAAAGCACCAACAGGUUCACCACCGUAACGAUAGACAAGUCGACCUUGCUCAUGCGAGUCAUGCGCAGACAUUGCCUCUAUGAAUAUAUAUAUAAAAUAACUUACCCUACAACAUAACAACGGAAAUUGAACAUGAAAAUUUACGGAGUGAAAUAAAUGUAUGUUAGAUCUAUAACUGAUGCUUUUACCUCUAAUAAGUGAGGUCAAACCAAGUCUAUUCACAAAGACGUUGUCUGUAAACUCUGAUUCAGUGAAAAGUUCCGCAAUAACGUAGAGAUCAGGACGAACUUGACGAGCUUCAUCAAUGAAAUACUUGAAAAUAUAAAAUUUUUUCGACAAUAAUACGAUGUUGAAAGAAAUUUUAUUGAAAAAGAAGUUUUUGGUCUAUUCAAUACAAGUUAAGUGAUCGUUCUAGAUAAAUGAAUGUUUCUACCUCAGCAACAUGUAUAGGUGUACUGUGACAAUUGUCCAAACGUAUUCCGUGAAAAAUACUGAAAUAUUAUAGAAAACGAUCAUCAUACAAUAUCAACAACUUCUCCGACACGAUUAAACAUUUAAAAACUA